UCUUUUGAGUGAGCGGCAAACGGGUGAGUAACGCGUGGGAAUCUACCCAUCUCUACGGAAUAACACAGAGAAAUUUGUGCUAAUACCGUAUACGUCCUAUUGGAGAAAGAUUUAUCGGAGAUGGAUGAGCCCGCGUUGGAUUAGCUAGUUGGUGAGGUAACGGCUCACCAAGGCGACGAUCCAUAGCUGGUCUGAGAGGAUGAUCAGCCACACUGGGACUGAGACACGGCCCAGACUCCUACGGGAGGCAGCAGUGGGGAAUAUUGGACAAUGGGGGCAACCCUGAUCCAGCCAUGCCGCGUGAGUGAUGAA
rnacentral:rRNA from 1 species